CCCUAGCCCCGAUUGCAGCGAAAAUCCUUUUUUGAGCUUCUUUAGCGAAAAAAAGAUUGUAGUGGAAAGCGGGAACAGCU
rnacentral:sRNA from 1 species